GACGAACGCUGGCGGCGUGCUUAACACAUGCAAGUCGAACGGAAAGGCCCUGCUUUUGUUGGCUGCUCGAUUGGCUAACGGUUGAGUACCACGUAAUUAACCGUCCCUUACCUUUGGGAUAACUUCAGGAAACUGGGGCUAAUGCCGGCUAGUAGCUCCUACUACUUGUUGGGGGUUGGAAAUUUUCGGCGGUUUGCGAUGGCAUCGCGGCUUAGCAGCUUGUUGGUGGGGUAGUGGCUUACCAAGGCUUUGACGGGUAGCCGGCCUGAGAGGGUGACCGGCCACAUUGGGACUGAGAUACGGACCAGAAUCGUACGGGAGGCAGCAGUGGGGAAUAUUGCACAAUGGGCGGAAGCCUGAGGCAGAAACGCUGCGUGCGGGAUGACGGCCUUCGGGUUGUAAACCGCUUUCGGCUGUGACGAAGCGUGAGUGACGGUAAUGGGUAAAGAAGCACCGGCUAACUAAGUG
rnacentral:rRNA from 1 species